UUAAGCGACUAAGCGUACACGGUGGAUGCCCUGGCAGUCAGAGGCGAUGAAGGACGUGCUAAUCUGCGAUAAGCGUCGGUAAGGUGAUAUGAACCGUUAUAACCGGCGAUUUCCGAAUGGGGAAACCCAGUGUGUUUCGACACACUAUCAUUAACUGAAUCCAUAGGUUAAUGAGGCGAACCGGGGGAACUGAAACAUCUAAGUACCCCGAGGAAAAGAAAUCAACCGAGAUUCCCCCAGUAGCGGCGAGCGAACGGGGAGCAGCCCAGAGCCUGAAUCAGUGUGUGUGUUAGUGGAAGCGUCUGGAAAGGCGCGCGAUACAGGGUGACAGCCCCGUACACAAAAAUGCACAUGCUGUGAGCUCGAUGAGUAGGGCGGGACACGUGGUAUCCUGUCUGAAUAUGGGGGGACCAUCCUCCAAGGCUAAAUACUCCUGACUGACCGAUAGUGAACCAGUACCGUGAGGGAAAGGCGAAAAGAACCCCGGCGAGGGGAGUGAAAAAGAACCUGAAACCGUGUACGUACAAGCAGUGGGAGCACGCUUAGGCGUGUGACUGCGUACCUUUUGUAUAAUGGGUCAGCGACUUAUAUUCUGUAGCAAGGUUAACCGAAUAGGGGAGCCGAAGGGAAACCGAGUCUUAACUGGGCGUUAAGUUGCAGGGUAUAGACCCGAAACCCGGUGAUCUAGCCAUGGGCAGGUUGAAGGUUGGGUAACACUAACUGGAGGACCGAACCGACUAAUGUUGAAAAAUUAGCGGAUGACUUGUGGCUGGGGGUGAAAGGCCAAUCAAACCGGGAGAUAGCUGGUUCUCCCCGAAAGCUAUUUAGGUAGCGCCUCGUGAAUUCAUCUCCGGGGGUAGAGCACUGUUUCGGCAAGGGGGUCAUCCCGACUUACCAACCCGAUGCAAACUGCGAAUACCGGAGAAUGUUAUCACGGGAGACACACGGCGGGUGCUAACGUCCGUCGUGAAGAGGGAAACAACCCAGACCGCCAGCUAAGGUCCCAAAGUCAUGGUUAAGUGGGAAACGAUGUGGGAAGGCCCAGACAGCCAGGAUGUUGGCUUAGAAGCAGCCAUCAUUUAAAGAAAGCGUAAUAGCUCACUGGUCGAGUCGGCCUGCGCGGAAGAUGUAACGGGGCUAAACCAUGCACCGAAGCUGCGGCAGCGACGCUUAUGCGUUGUUGGGUAGGGGAGCGUUCUGUAAGCCUGUGAAGGUGUGCUGUGAGGCAUGCUGGAGGUAUCAGAAGUGCGAAUGCUGACAUAAGUAACGAUAAAGCGGGUGAAAAGCCCGCUCGCCGGAAGACCAAGGGUUCCUGUCCAACGUUAAUCGGGGCAGGGUGAGUCGACCCCUAAGGCGAGGCCGAAAGGCGUAGUCGAUGGGAAACAGGUUAAUAUUCCUGUACUUGGUGUUACUGCGAAGGGGGGACGGAGAAGGCUAUGUUGGCCGGGCGACGGUUGUCCCGGUUUAAGCGUGUAGGCUGGUUUUCCAGGCAAAUCCGGAAAAUCAAGGCUGAGGCGUGAUGACGAGGCACUACGGUGCUGAAGCAACAAAUGCCCUGCUUCCAGGAAAAGCCUCUAAGCAUCAGGUAACAUCAAAUCGUACCCCAAACCGACACAGGUGGUCAGGUAGAGAAUACCAAGGCGCUUGAGAGAACUCGGGUGAAGGAACUAGGCAAAAUGGUGCCGUAACUUCGGGAGAAGGCACGCUGAUAUGUAGGUGAAGUCCCUCGCGGAUGGAGCUGAAAUCAGUCGAAGAUACCAGCUGGCUGCAACUGUUUAUUAAAAACACAGCACUGUGCAAACACGAAAGUGGACGUAUACGGUGUGACGCCUGCCCGGUGCCGGAAGGUUAAUUGAUGGGGUUAGCGGUAACGCGAAGCUCUUGAUCGAAGCCCCGGUAAACGGCGGCCGUAACUAUAACGGUCCUAAGGUAGCGAAAUUCCUUGUCGGGUAAGUUCCGACCUGCACGAAUGGCGUAAUGAUGGCCAGGCUGUCUCCACCCGAGACUCAGUGAAAUUGAACUCGCUGUGAAGAUGCAGUGUACCCGCGGCAAGACGGAAAGACCCCGUGAACCUUUACUAUAGCUUGACACUGAACAUUGAGCCUUGAUGUGUAGGAUAGGUGGGAGGCUUUGAAGUGUGGACGCCAGUCUGCAUGGAGCCGACCUUGAAAUACCACCCUUUAAUGUUUGAUGUUCUAACGUUGACCCGUAAUCCGGGUUGCGGACAGUGUCUGGUGGGUAGUUUGACUGGGGCGGUCUCCUCCUAAAGAGUAACGGAGGAGCACGAAGGUUGGCUAAUCCUGGUCGGACAUCAGGAGGUUAGUGCAAUGGCAUAAGCCAGCUUGACUGCGAGCGUGACGGCGCGAGCAGGUGCGAAAGCAGGUCAUAGUGAUCCGGUGGUUCUGAAUGGAAGGGCCAUCGCUCAACGGAUAAAAGGUACUCCGGGGAUAACAGGCUGAUACCGCCCAAGAGUUCAUAUCGACGGCGGUGUUUGGCACCUCGAUGUCGGCUCAUCACAUCCUGGGGCUGAAGUAGGUCCCAAGGGUAUGGCUGUUCGCCAUUUAAAGUGGUACGCGAGCUGGGUUUAGAACGUCGUGAGACAGUUCGGUCCCUAUCUGCCGUGGGCGCUGGAGAACUGAGGGGGGCUGCUCCUAGUACGAGAGGACCGGAGUGGACGCAUCACUGGUGUUCGGGUUGUCAUGCCAAUGGCACUGCCCGGUAGCUAAAUGCGGAAGAGAUAAGUGCUGAAAGCAUCUAAGCACGAAACUUGCCCCGAGAUGAGUUCUCCCUGACUCCUUGAGAGUCCUGAAGGAACGUUGAAGACGACGACGUUGAUAGGCCGGGUGUGUAAGCGCAGCGAUGCGUUGAGCUAACCGGUACUAAUGAACCGUGAGGCUUAACCUU
rnacentral:rRNA from 2 species